rnacentral:rRNA from 1 species
UAAUACGUAGGGUGCGAGCGUUAAUCGGAAUUACUGGGCGUAAAGCGUGCGCAGGCGGCGCCAUAAGACAGCUGUGAAAUCCCCGGGCUUAACCUGGGAACUGCGGUUGUGACUGUGGUGCUUGAGUGCGGCAGAGGGGGGUGGAAUUCCACGUGUAGCAGUGAAAUGCGUAGAGAUGUGGAGGAACACCGAUGGCGAAGGCAGCCCCCUGGGUCGACACUGACGCUCAUGCACGAAAGCGUGGGGAGCAAACAGGAUUAGAUACCCUGGUAGUCCACGCCCUAAACGAUGCGAACUAGGUGUUGGGGAAGGAGACUUCUUUAGUACCGUAGCUAACGCGUGAAGUUCGCCGCCUGGGGAGUACGGUCGCAAGAUUAAAACUUAAAUGAAUUGACGG